GAUGAACGCUGGCGGCGUGCUUAACACAUGCAAGUCGAACGAAGCACUUAAGAUUGAUUCUUCGGAUGACGUCUUUUGUGACUUAGUGGCGGACGGGUGAGUAACGCGUGGGUAACCUGCCUCACACAGGGGGAUAACAGUUAGAAAUGACUGCUAAUACCGCAUAACCCGAUAGGAUCGCAUGAUCCAGACGGAAAAGAUUUAUCGGUGUGAGAUGGACCCGCGUCUGAUUAGCUAGUUGGUGAGGUAACGGCCCACCAAGGCGACGAUCAGUAGCCGGCCUGAGAGGGUGAACGGCCACAUUGGGACUGAGACACGGCCCAGACUCCUACGGGAGGCAGCAGUGGGGAAUAUUGCACAAUGGGGGAAACCCUGAUGCAGCGACGCCGCGUGAGUGAAGAAGUAUUUCGGUAUGUAAAGCUCUAUCAGCAGGGAAGAAAAUGACGGUACCUGACUAAGAAGCCCCGGCUAACUACGUG
rnacentral:rRNA from 1 species